GAGGGAUGUGUGGGCACAUUUCCCUUGUGCUAUCCAGGAAGGGCUAAUGAUUGGAAGGAAAACGUCAGCCCUUCUCAAGCAGCAAAAUAACAGCACCUUCUGUUUCCCCUGAAUCCACAUGAGUGUGGUGCUGUGAAAGAGGUCGCUGGCUGGUGUUGAGGGUGCCUCCGUGCCAGGGAGCACUCAAAGCUACAGACAUUCACCUGCGAAUGGUCAUGGACCUGACCGGCUGUUUUCUCUGCAUUUCUCCCCUGGCUAAAGAUGUGUUGCUGGGUAAAGUGAUUCUCAGACUUGACCUCCUGCUGCCCUGCUCCCACCCUGGAAUGGAGCAGGUGCCAGGUGGACAUGGCUGCAGGUGCUGUGGGAGGUGAGUCGUGCAGCCACAGGGGAAAACGUUUCAGGAUCCAGUGUCCGUCCUUCAAAGUUGCUUCUAACAAGGAAACCGCUGCCUAAUCACCGGCACCUGUCAAAUUGGAAUCUCAGCCAUCAGCCUGUAAGCUGGAUCUGGGAGGCUUUGUUUCUGGAGACUUCUGCUUUCUUUGGAAGGCAGGCUCAAACCUGAUCCUCUAUACAACGGUCCCGAGUUAAAUCUGGCCAGUCUGAAAAGCCAGCCAUGCUGGCGAGUGCAUGAAAAUCCUGCUUCAAAGGCAGAGAGCCGGGCUCCACGCGACAUUCCGCACCUUCCUCAGGGUGGCUUCUCCUUCUCCCUGGCCUCGUACCCUAGAACUUAAAGUAUAAUAAAAAAAUAAAAAAUAAAAAAGGAAGAAAACCUGCAUCAUCAAUGAAA